ensembl:lncRNA
CCUCAUUUAAGGGUUGGCAGUGUAGGUGAGGGUAUCCUCUAUAGAGAUCCCUGAAUAUUUGAGGACUUCUAAAGGCAACAAUGAAACUUUUGGUUUUUGUGAGAAAUUGCAUCAAAUUAUCACUCAACCCUUUUGUUGACCAAAACUUUUGUUUGUUUUCUGUUGGGUCAGAUGCCAUUUUGCCGUGCUGCUCCUCUGCUGUCUUCUGCCACAGAGCAACAAAAUGAAACAGAAUAUUGGUGGGGAGGUUGAAACUCUACUGCCAUACCAUUAAUAUCCACCUCUGAUGUAGUGGGCUAACAUAAUGAAGUAGGAGGCAUUAUUUUUGGAGCAGCCCUCAUGCAUUUUUCUGGUAUUUUUGUUACUUGUAUGUACUGAAAGCACCAAAACAAAAGAAGCCUGUAUAACAGCUGAUGUGUAGGGUACUGGAGGCUCUUGAAUUCCAGUCAUAGUUUUGGGUGGAGCAACUUAGCCACUGAGUGAAAUUGCUUUCAGCUCUCUCUUCUGCAGUGUGUUAAAUAUCAGUAAUUUUUUUGUCUGCAAUACCUUACAUUUUGAUGACUACAAAUGUUGGUGCUCUGAGUUACGUUAAAGAUGAAAGGGUAAAUAGUUACCCUACUUAUCAUUUGCUUUUUAAGG